rnacentral:lncRNA from 1 species
GUUGCCUUGACUACGGCGGGCGCUGUGGGAGUGGAGAAGCUGCAAGUGCUGAGGCGCGGUGGAGGAAAGCAUGGGAGCCAAGAGUAUGAGGAGCUGGUGUCUGUGUCAGAUUUGUAGCUGCGGACCAGGACUGACAAGGGAGCCACUGCCUCUGCCAUAAUCAGAAAAUUGCAACAGAGCUGUAGACUCCAGAAUCACUCGUCUCUUCCAAGGUCAAGAAGCUGCCAAGUUAGGAAACCAGCUUGCAAAUCAAGAUGCCGCCUAACAACUUCUAGCUCCAAUCUCUUGUUGCCUCUAUUAUGUUCCAUGCAAGCAAAAUAAAUGUUGUGCCUUGACUCUC